AUUGGAUUGCAAUGCUCUGAUAACAUAUUUCUGAAUAAUAUGUUGUUGUUUUCUUAAAUGUAAUUGAAAUUAGAUUCUGAGGUGGAUAGAGAACCUAAAACUGGUCCUCAAGAAAGAAAACUUCAACAUAUUUUUACUCAAGUUAAAGU